rnacentral:rRNA from 1 species
UACGGAGGGUGCAAGCGUUAUCCGGAUUCACUGGGUUUAAAGGGUGUGUAGGCGGGCAGUUAAGUCAGUGGUGAAAUCUCCAGGCUCAACCUGGAAACUGCCAUUGAUACUAUCUGUCUUGAAUUCUGUUGAGGUGGGCGGAAUACAUCGAUGUAGCGGUGAAAUGCUUAGAUAUGAUGUAGAACACCGAUUGCGAAGGCAGCUCACUAAGCA